rnacentral:rRNA from 1 species
UACGUAGGGUGCAAGCGUUAUCCGGAAUUAUUGGGCGUAAAGAGCUCGUAGGCGGUCUGUCGCGUCGGCUGUGAAAACUUGGGGCUCAACCCCAAGCCUGCAGUCGAUACGGGCAGACUAGAGUGCGGUAGGGGAGACUGGAUUCCUGGUGUAGCGGUGAAAUGACGCAGAUAUCAGGAGGAACACCGGUGGCGAAGGCGGGUCUCUGGGCAGUAACUGACGCUGAGGAGCGAAAGCGUGGGGAGCGAACAGG